CAAAGAGAAGAGCAGAUGUGCAGCUGAAGGGAGACUGACUCGACGGAAAAAUAACCUCAAGGUCAUGUGUUGUUGGAGUUGCCGUGUUGUCACAGCAGCAUGUUAGUGACCGCUGCUUGUUUGGCUCAGAAAAGGGUUCGGGAGGAGCACGAUCAGAUAAUCAACGAGACCCGUACUGGGGAUUUAUUCGUAUCCUCCAUCCGGCGCUAGGCUCACUCCUUUUCCGCCAGUCACUGCCGCCGAGCACAAGGCUUCAUCGCAGACGC
ensembl:lncRNA